rnacentral:rRNA from 1 species
UACAGAGGUCUCAAGCGUUGUUCGGAUUCAUUGGGCGUAAAGGGUGCGUAGGUGGCGGGGUAAGUCAGGUGUGAAAUCUCGGAGCUCAACUCCGAAACUGCACUUGAUACUGCCUUGCUAGAGUACUGGAGAGGAGAUUGGAAUUUACGGUGUAGCAGUGAGAUGCGUAGAUAUCGUAAGGAAGACCAGUGGCGAAGGCGAAUCUCUGGACAGUUACUGACACUGAGGCACGAAGGCCAGGGGAGCAAACGGG